UCGCGCUGUGCGGUUGUGUGGAGCGGAAAGUUGAAAUUCGCUUUCAAGUUGCCCAAAAGGUUUUUGUCAUUUGUUUUCGCAUUGUUCGCGCAUUGUUGAUUUCAAUUGUGAGAGAAGCGGCAGCAGCAGCAGCAGCAUCCCAAAAGAAACUGCAGUCGCUGAUGUUUGUGUUCUAUUCGUAAUCGGAGUCGGUGCAAUAAAACGCGGCAAUAUUUUCAGUUAAAAAUAAAUAAAAAUUUAAAUAAAAAUAAAUCCAUAAGAAAAAAUUGAAAGUGAAAUUCGUUAAUAACGGUAAAUCAAAUACAACGCGACGACGAGAAAAAAUUUGUUGAAUGAAACGCUCAGAGGAAAAGAAGCAAAUAUAAAUUAAUUGCUUAAAAAAAUAAAAUAAAUAAUAAUAAUUUUAAAAAUCUAACGGCAUACAAAAUUAAUAUUCAUAUUCAUUCAAUGCAAAGUGUUUAACAGUUUAACAAAACAAAUUAAAAGUGUUUCAACAAUUUACUAAAGCGAUUCCAAUUAGAAUUUGGGCUUCGACAACAGCACCAGCAACACCAACAAUAAUAAACAUAAGUUUCGAAAAUCGUAUAUACAGAAGUUACAUAUAUAUUGAGAAACUUGUGCCAAAAAGCAACUCAUAAGCAAUAUUAGACGUCGCGGCAAUUGCGCAACAAAUAAUAUUUCUGUCUAAAGGUAAAUAUGUCAACCAAAUACUUUAGAUUCUUAUACUCCAAAGGGCAUUUGAUAUAGCUCUGCAGUGAAAACCUUUUCUUUUUUCAUAUAAGAGGGGCAACAGGUUU
rnacentral:sRNA from 1 species